rnacentral:rRNA from 1 species
UACGUAGGGGGCUAGCGUUGUCCGGAUUUAUUGGGCGUAAAGAGCGUGUAGGCGGCCAGGUAGGUCUGCUGUGAAAACUCGAGGCUCAACCUCGAGACGUCGGCGGAAACCAUCUGGCUAGAGUCCGGAAGAGGAGACUGGAAUUUACGGUGUAGCGGUGAAAUGCGUAGAUAUCGUAAGGAAGACCAGUGGCGAAGGCGGGUCUCUGGACAGUUCCUGACGCUGAGGCACGAAGGCCAGGGGAGCAAACGGG